GCCCCGGUGGCCUAAUGGAUAAGGCAUUGGCCUCCUAAGCCAAGGGUUGUGGGUUACGAGUUCCCGAAUUCCCACCACAGUGAGC
rnacentral:tRNA from 1 species